rnacentral:rRNA from 1 species
AUCGAACGCUGGCGGCAUGCCUUACACAUGCAAGUCGAACGGCAGCACGGGAGCAAUCCUGGUGGCGAGUGGCGAACGGGUGAGUAAUACAUCGGAACGUGCCCAGUAGUGGGGGAUAGCCCGGCGAAAGCCGGAUUAAUACCGCAUACGACCUACGGGUGAAAGCGGGGGAUCGCAAGACCUCGCGCUAUUGGAGCGGCCGAUGGCAGAUUAGCUUGUUGGUGGGGUAUAAGCCUACCAAGGCUACGAUCUGUAGCUGGUCUGAGAGGACGACCAGCCAAACUGGGACUGAGACACGGCCCAGACUCCUACGGGAGUCAGCAGUGGGGAAUUUUGGACAAUGGGCGCAAGCCUGAUCCAGCCAGGCCGCGUGCGGGAAGAAGGCCUUCGGGUUGUAAACCGCUUUUGUCAGGGAAGAAACGAUCCGAUCUAAUACAUUGGAUUAAUGACGGUACCUGAAGAAUAAGCACCGGCUAACUACGUGCCAGCCGCCGCCGUAAAAC